rnacentral:rRNA from 1 species
CCCCUAGAUGUUCUGGGCCGCACGCGCGCUACACUGAACAGUUCAACAAGUCUUAACCUUGGCCGAUAGGUCUGGGUAAUCUUUGAACGCUGUUCGUGAUUGGGAUAGACCUUUGCAAUUAUGGGUCUUCAACGAGGAAUUCCUAGUAAACGCAAGUCAUCAGCUUGCAUUGAUUACGUCCCUGCCCUUUGUACACACAGCCCGUCGCACCUACCGAUUGAAUGGUCCGGUGAAAUCUCGGGACGGCGGCUUGGUCGCUUGCGUCCGACUGCUGAAACUUGAUUAAACCAUAUCAUUUAGAGGAAGGUGAAGUCGUAACA